GGUGCUGUGGUGUAGUCGGUUAUCACGUCAGUCUUACACACUGAAGGUCCCCGGUUCGAGCCCGGGCAGCACCA
rnacentral:tRNA from 1 species